UACAGAGGGUGCGAGCGUUAAUCGGAGUUACUGGGCGUAAAGGGCGCGUAGGCGGAUAUAUAAGUGAGAUGUGAAAUCCCUGGGCUUAACCUAGGAACUGCAUUUUAUACUGUAUGUCUGGAGUACUGUAGAGGGUAGUGGAAUUUCCGGUGUAGCGGUGAAAUGCGUAGAUAUCAAGAGGAACACCUGAGGUGAAGACGGGUUGCUGGGCUGACACUGACGCUGAGGCGCGAAAGCGUGGGGAUCAAACAGG
rnacentral:rRNA from 1 species